CAAUUUAAACAACGAAGAGUUUGAUCCUGGCUCAGGAUGAACGCUAGCGACAGGCUUAACACAUGCAAGUCGAGGGGCAGCACAGGUAGCAAUACCGGGUGGCGACCGGCGCACGGGUGAGUAACGCGUAUGCAACUUACCUAUCAGAGGGGGAUAACCCGGCGAAAGUCGGACUAAUACCGCAUGAAGCAGGGGCCCCGCAUGGGGAUAUUUGCUAAAGAUUCAUCGCUGAUAGAUAGGCAUGCGUUCCAUUAGGCAGUUGGCGGGGUAACGGCCCACCAAACCGACGAUGGAUAGGGGUUCUGAGAGGAAGGUCCCCCACAUUGGUACUGAGACACGGACCAAACUCCUACGGGAGGCAGCAGUGAGGAAUAUUGGUCAAUGGGCGUAAGCCUGAACCAGCCAAGUCGCGUGAGGGAUGAAGGUUCUAUGGAUCGUAAACCUCUUUUAUAAGGGAAUAAAGUGCGGGACGUGUCCCGUUUUGUAUGUACCUUAUGAAUAAGGAUCGGCUAACUCCGUGCCAGCAGCCGCGGUAAUACGGAGGAUCCGAGCGUUAUCCGGAUUUAUUGGGUUUAAAGGGUGCGUAGGCGGCCUUUUAAGUCAGCGGUGAAAGUCUGUGGCUCAACCAUAGAAUUGCCGUUGAAACUGGGUGGCUUGAGUAUGUUUGAGGCAGGCGGAAUGCGUGGUGUAGCGGUGAAAUGCUUAGAUAUCACGCAGAACUCCGAUUGCGAAGGCAGCCUGCCAAGCCAUGACUGACGCUGAUGCACGAAAGCGUGGGGAUCAAACAGGAUUAGAUACCCUGGUAGUCCACGCAGUAAACGAUGAUCACUAGCUGUUUGCGAUACAGUGUAAGCGGCACAGCGAAAGCGUUAAGUGAUCCACCUGGGGAGUACGCCGGCAACGGUGAAACUCAAAGGAAUUGACGGGGGCCCGCACAAGCGGAGGAACAUGUGGUUUAAUUCGAUGAUACGCGAGGAACCUUACCCGGGUUUGAACGCAUUCGGACCGAGGUGGAAACACCUUUUCUAGCAAUAGCCGUUUGCGAGGUGCUGCAUGGUUGUCGUCAGCUCGUGCCGUGAGGUGUCGGCUUAAGUGCCAUAACGAGCGCAACCCUUAUCACUAGUUACUAACAGGUAAAGCUGAGGACUCUGGUGGGACUGCCAGCGUAAGCUGCGAGGAAGGCGGGGAUGACGUCAAAUCAGCACGGCCCUUACAUCCGGGGCGACACACGUGUUACAAUGGCGUGGACAAAGGGAAGCCACCUGGCGACAGGGAGCGAAUCCCCAAACCACGUCUCAGUUCGGAUCGGAGUCUGCAACCCGACUCCGUGAAGCUGGAUUCGCUAGUAAUCGCGCAUCAGCCAUGGCGCGGUGAAUACGUUCCCGGGCCUUGUACACACCGCCCGUCAAGCCAUGGGAGCCGGGGGUACCUGAAGUCCGUAACCGCGAGGAUCGGCCUAGGGUAAAACUGGUGACUGGGGCUAAGUCGUAACAAGGUAGCCGUACCGGAAGGUGCGGCUGGAACACCUCCUUUCU
rnacentral:rRNA from 1 species